CACCUUUUGACAUGCCUGGACCGCCACAGAGAUGUGGUUUUCCCUUCGGGGACUGGGACACAGGUGCUGCAUGGCUGUCGUCAGCUCGUGUCGUGAGAUGUUGGGUUAAGUCCCGCAACGAGCGCAACCCUCGCGAUUAGUUGCCAUCAGGUUUGGCUGGGCACUCUAAUCGUACUGCCGGAGUUAAUCCGGAGGAAGGCGGGGAUGACGUCAAGUCCUCAUGGCCCUUACAAGGUGGGCUACACACGUGCUACAAUGGCGACUACAGAGGGCUGCAAUCCCGCGAGGGGGAGCCAAUCCCUAAAAGUCGUCUCAGUUCGGAUUGUUCUCUGCAACUCGAGAGCAUGAAGUUGGAAUCGCUAGUAAUCGCGGAUCAGCAUGCCGCGGUGAAUACGUUC
rnacentral:rRNA from 1 species